CUUUUCUAACUCCCCACAUAGCUAUGUGUCCUGGAGGGUCAUCCGUCAGGAGAACUUCCCCAUGACAUCCACAGCUGCCCAGUGCCCUAUUGAGGGGACGCCUUGGGAUUGAUUCCGUUUCUCUUUGAUCCAAGUCAGUAGAAACUUCCGGAACGACAGAGCUGGGGCAUGGGGCAAACCAUUCCCCAGGAACAAGGGAGAAGCUGGACGAAAUGCUCCAAAACAACCACCUCAGGAAGCCCAGGGCUCACACAAGCUGAGAAGCGUCUGCCCACGAACACGGCUGGACUUCAGCAAUGAGAGUGCGUCCAUGGUGCUGCUGCUGGUGAACUCUGAUGGAGCGACAGUGCCUCUGCCCCGAUAGGGGUUCUGCCCUGGCUAUAGGCGCUCUUCACCUGGAGCGCUGUCUAUAAACAUGGCCAGGGCAGGGGAACGUUGCAGCUGUGGCCGUGCAGGCUUUGGAGCCAGGUGCAUGGCAGCGCUGGAAUCGUAACCACAACCCUUCACAGAACGCUGAGUCUGGGAGUCCAACCUCGGUGGGUGGAGGCUCAAUGAUCUCAACUUUAAAAGCUGGGUUGCUCCCCACCUCUAAGGUGUGCCGUGAGGAUCCGCUAAGAAGAUUCGGGAUAAUGGGUGCGCAUAACGUUUUGGGUUUUUUUGUUUUGUUUUGUUUUUUGUUUUGUUUUUUAUCUGAGACAGACUCUUGUUCCGCUACCCAGGCUGGAGUGCAUUGGCACAAUCUCGGGUCACUGCAACCCCCACCUCUCAGGUUCAAGCGAUUCUCCUGCCUCAGCCUCCCGAGUAGCUGGGAUUACAAGUGCCUGCCAACAGGCCCA
rnacentral:lncRNA from 10 species